rnacentral:rRNA from 1 species
AAGACCUUGCGCUUUUGGAGCGGCCGAUGCCUGAUUAGCUUGUUGGUAAGGUAAAAGCUUACCAAGGCUUCGAUCAGUAGCUGGUCUGAGAGGACGACCAGCCACACUGGGACUGAGACACGGCCCAGACUCCUACGGGAGGCAGCAGUGGGGAAUUUUGGACAAUGGGGGCAACCCUGAUCCAGCCAUGCCGCGUGAGUGAAGAAGGCCUUCGGGUUGUAAAGCUCUUUCAGCCGGAACGAAACGGUUACGGAUAACACCCGUGACUACUGACGGUACCGGAAGAAGAAGCACCGGCUAACUACGUGCCAGCAGCCGCGGUAAUACGUAGGGUGCGAGCGUUAAUCGGAAUUACUGGGCGUAAAGCGUGCGCAGGUGGUUUUGUAAGUCAGAUGUGAAAUCCCCGGGCUUAACCUGGGAACU